rfam:Triticum aestivum genome assembly, contig: Triticum_aestivum_CS42_TGACv1_scaffold_221833_3B
AAAGUACUCCCUCCAUCCCAAAAUUAUUGUCUUAGAUUUGUCUAGAUACGGAUGUAUCAAGUUACAUUUUAGUAUUAGAUACAUCCGUAUCUAGACAAAUCUAAGACAAGAAUUUUGGGACGGGGGAUGUAAUUG